GCUUGUUUGCACUUUGGAACACCUCGUGCUUCCAGAGCCGGCCCAUCCUGCUGGGGAGGGGAGAGGUCCCAGCGCUGCUGUCUGGCAGACCUUGGUUUCGGUGGGCACCAGAAGCGAGGCAGAUUGCUUGCUGCUGCAACUUCACGCGUGAGCUCCAGGCUCCCCUGGUUGGAAGGUGCCAGGGAGUGAGGCGGUUUUAAGAUUCCUUCAACAUCAGGAUUCCCGAUCAUCUCAUCAACCGACUUGUUAAGAAAACUGAGGCCCAGGGAAGUGGCUCACAAUUGUGUAGAAUUGUGAGGUGUCUUGACUGCUGGGCCAGGACUGAAGGACGUACGCCCUCUCCCGGAAUCGUCUCAGCUACAGAGAACCACCUUGCCCAAGGUGUGCACAGGGUGUGGCUUCCAAGGGGAAUGUGGAUGCUGGAAUGAGGGAGGCAGCCACCUAGGCCGGUCAAGUCAGAGGCCCAGCAAGGAGAAAGCGAGCCAAGGCAAACGCCGACAGAAGAGAACGAUAAAUCCGCGGCGCACUCGGCAGAACGUACACCGCACCGCAUAAUUUAGCGGGGCAAUGCCGCCGGGAGUCCACGCCAAGUUAAUGGAAUAUUUCCUGUAAAUAUUAUUUUCCCUUCCUGUCUCAUCAUCUCAUUUCAUUCAAAAAUCUUUACUAAUCCGGGGGAGUGAAAGUAAUGCAUCAAUUUCCAGAGCCAAUGCCCCUGCUUCCGAAAUACCCUUAGGAAUCACUGGAAGCCACCGCGGCUGCUUAGGGACAGGGGGGCAGGCCGUUUACUCUGGUUCCUUCUCCUAAUGCCUCAGAGGGGACCCCAUAGUGCUCCUAAUUGUGCAUCUAAGUGUACAUAAAAGCCCCCCUAAUUGCACAUCAAAUAAAUAAGUAAAUGCUGUCUGCUGAAUAUGUAACAAGGACUGAUGUUGCUAUUUCUUCCCAGGGGGGAGAUUUCAUUAAAUCUGGGCUGCAUUUCUAAGUGAUGAUUUACAGAUAUUGAAUAUUCUUUACAAGGGAGGCUUUUUUGGAGUUAUGUGCUUCACAAUAUUUGCUCUAAUGCUUAAAGCCUCAGAUACAGCCUGCUGGAGGUCUCUUUAUUCUAACUCUUAGUGUCCUUUUGGAAAGUCUUUUCUGCUUUAAUGUGUAAUGGCUUCCGAUGAUCAGAUGGCUGGUUUGUCUGCAGGUCUGGGGACUGUGCAACCCCCUGGUCUCCCAAUGCCUCAGUUACUGACGCUGCAAACAAGGCAGAUUGUCCCAGAGAUUAGAGCUCUCAGGCUUUCUCGGGCUUCAAUCAAUCAAAGGAACGUAAGGACCCCUCCCCUACAGAGAGAGCCGGACGUGAGCCAGAUUUUGUCCAGACUUACUUAUAUCUGCCCUGUGGGAUCCCGAUUCUGCAAGAUUUAAUAAACAAUGCCUCAACAGAUAGCAUUUAAUUUUCAUUCAAACGUUUCCAGGGAAGAAAGAGGUAAAACUCUUGCUUGUACCAGCACAACUGCCCGAAACCCGUGGGAUACCCAGUCUGAGGCAUGUUGCUAUCGACAGUCAUUUCACACAGCUGGCAGUUUUUUCUUUUCUGAUGGCCUAGCUCUCUUUACUCCACCGUAAAUGCAAACUAAGACGAAACUUGGGAUUUACCUCCGGUGCCUAAAUGCCAACCUGACACUGUCUCAUUGUCUCCUGAGCCCAGUAGGACGGUAAUUUGUGAAAUACGGAGCCUCUCACCUCAGCAGCGCUUCUUUCUAUUCCCACACAUAUGCACAUGCUAAAAUGGAAUGUGGUAACUAGCAUAAAAUAGGGUACAACAAUUGCUGCAAGAUUUGUUUUUUUGGCUGGGCACAGUGGCUCACGUCUGUAAUCCCAUCACUUUGGGAGGCUGAGGUGGGUGGAUCUUUUGAGGUCAGGAGUCUGAGACCAGCCUGACUAACAUGGUGAAACCCAGUCUCUACUAAAAAUACAAAAAAAAAAAAAAAAAAAUUAGCCAGGCAUGGUGACACACGCCUAUAGUCCCAGCUACUCUGGAGGCUGAACCAGCAGAAUUGCUUGAACCCAGGAGGCAGAGGUUGCAGUGAGCCAAUAUCGUGCCACUGCACUCCAGCCUGGGAGACAGAGCGAGACUCCCUCUCAAAAAAAAAAAAAGAUUUUUUUUUUCUAUUGUGACUUUUCUACUUCUGUCAUCACUGCUGAGCCAAGACAGACAUGUAAGAUCCCGUCAGCACCGUACUUGGAUGCUGCAUUCACAAUUGUGAAUUCCAACCGUAGCCAUGACAAAGGAGAGAGGAGAGCUACAAAGCACUCAAAGGGAUGUCCCC
rnacentral:lncRNA from 10 species